CUGCGAAUCCACACAAAUCACCGCCGCCCGGGCAGAAGGCCAGUGCUACGAGCAUGCAGAUUUCUGGGGUCCAGUCCAGCCCCACAGGACGAUAAACUGUCUGGCAGUACCCAGGAACCUGCAUUCUACACAAGCAUCCGGGCUCACAGGAACCCAGGGAAGUUUGAAAACAAUCGCUUCACGUCUAGCACCAGCUGGGACUCCCUGCUCGCGGGAACCCAGCACCGCGGCGGCCGCUGGGCCGCGCAUCAACCGAGCUUGGUCCUUUCCUUUGGUCCCGCCCCGCUUCUCAGCGCGGAUUGGUGGCGGAGAGCAGCUCUGGAGCUGAUUGGGCGGCAACGAGCCGCUGGUGGAGACUGUAAGUUCGGCUGCUCCAGAGUGCUAAAUUUAUCUUCAGAGGAGCUACCGCGCCAGCCGCGAACCGGAUCUCUAUGGAGGUGGCAUAGGCGAUGUCCCAGAGCUGAGAGCAUCACCCUGUCCCCGAAUCCUUCUUUCCUCUAUUUUGUUUUCAUUCCCCCCUCCCUCCCUUCCCCUUCCAGUCCGCGACGACUGGCUCUUGACCCUGUUCAGGCCUCGGUGAAGGCUUUUGGUUACUCCCUUUCCACCCCAUCCCUUAAUUUUAUUCUUUUGAAGAGUGCAUUUCAAGCUGCGAAGGUGGAGAGUGUGAUUGCAGAAGGGAGUACUCCUCAUUUCAGGUAUCUUACCAUCUAGCUAUUAAUAGGAAAACCAUUUUGCUUUAGGAUGUAACAUGAGGAUUCAAAGCUUACUGUAGGUUUAAGUCAAAAGCAGAUAUAUUUGGGUAGACACUAAAUAUGUAUGCCUUAACUUGCAAAGUUAAAAGUCUUUUUUAAAGGUCUUAGGAUUUGCAUUACCCUUCCUUUUAAUUAUGAUUUUUAAAACUAUAUGAGGAAUAAACCUAUCAAAAUGAGAGUUUAUGUUUUUUAGGUCCUGGUUAAGUCUUUACCUGUAGUAUAAUGGAAUGCAGAGUAAUCAGUAAAAUAAUUACUUCCAGUGGGUCUUAAUUAGGAUGAUAUAAAUAUUUGUGUGUUUUUAAUUCCAGAGAAAGAGGAACUAACUUUUGGUCUACAUUUUAUUCAGUGUUAGCAUAGUAUUUAGGAUGCAGAAUUCUGUGUCUUUCAAAACUUUGGAAUGUGUUGGUGUGUCUUUAAUAUAGCUUAUCAAAAUAGUCAGUAGUCCUGUGGGAGGCUUCAGAUGUAUAAUAAUAUCAACAGUGAAUGUAUCUAAUGGCAGUAGGCAUCAGAAAGCUAAACAAGAUUGAAGAUACUAUAUGCCAUGAGAAGGGGUUGGUAAAUUAGGGCCCAUGUUUUUGUAAAUAGAGAUUUACUGGAACACAGCUGUGUCCAUUCUUUUUGUAUUCUCUAUGUCUGCUACCAUGCUACAACUACAGAGUUGAAUAGUUUCAACAGAGGCCAUAUGGCCCGUAAAGUCAAAAAUAUUUACUGUAUUGUUCUUCACAGAAAAAGUUUGCCAACCCCUGCCAUGGGACAUAUUCCUCAAGGUCCCUUCCUUAAAAACACACUUAUCAACUCUUCAUUAUUUCUUAGCCUGAUGGUUCCCAAAUUGUGUUUUAUAGAACAUUAAUAUUCUCCAUGUUAAUAAGUGUUCUGAGAAAAAGAUCAGUGCUAACAAUAGUUUUCUUUAUAGUUUAUUUUAAAAUAUAAGUUUAAGACUACUAAACUCAUUUCUAUAGCUUUAUUUUUAUGUGAUAAUCUACGUUUAAGAAAAGGUGUGCCAUACCUGAGAGCACCAGGAAGUCGCAUGAGAAAUCACCUGAUACACGAACGUGUGAUGUUCCAUCUGCGCAUUGAUGCAUAGGCAGCAUUUACAAGUUAACCGAUGUGU
ensembl:lncRNA